rnacentral:lncRNA from 1 species
AGAAGCAGAAGUUGUGUUUUCAGCCUCAGGGAGCUCUAGUGGAGAGACAAGAUUCGUGCAUGAAAUAAUUACGACUGUUGUAGAAAAAAGAAAAGCCUGUAGGUCUCCCUUCCUCCCUCCUUCUCUCUGUCUACCUCAGCAUUUCUGGGGUUCACUCUGCUCUGGGUACUGUGUAAAGGACUCCACAGCCAUCAACUUCCCUUCAUCCUUGCCGUGUCUUUGAAAGAGCUGAGAUUUCUUUACAUCACAGUGGUUCAAGGAGAAAAACACAGCCAGAUCCUUCCUCAUCUCAACAUAAAUUAAACCCAGAGGCAGUCAGCGCCACAGUCCACACUCGUAACCGUUACACUCACCUGGAAAUAAAAGUAUUUUUGUGCGGGGACUGCAAGGACUAAGCCCGGCCGCACUCCGAGUUUCUCCUCCUCACAGUGACUCAUUGCUCAGGUGAGGAAACUGAGGCUCAGAGAGGGUCCGUGGCAUGUCCAAGGUUACUCUGCUGUUAAUUGUUUUCUUGGCACUCUCUCCCUUCUCACCUGUGACUACCUGAGUGUCCCCAGAGGCAAGGAACUAUGUGAGCCACUCCAGUGUUCCCAGCCCCAAGGCCAGGCACAGUGGACAUUUAUUGCUGAAUGAAUGAAUCAAGAGAGAGGAUCAGAAAGCUGCAGAGGAUGAUAGAUCUGCAAAAUUCUCCCUGGGUGAGGCCCAGGCUCAGCUUCCAGAACAGCUCCAUCUGUCUCCCACUCACUGAGAUUGAACUAAUGUCCCACAGUUGGACAGACCUGAAAUUGAGCUCUGUGAUUUUGGAUACCUGCCCCUCUGCUGGAGAUUCUGCAUGUCUGAGGUACCAGCCAUUGCCAGAAACUGGGCUAUGUUCUCUCCUUUCAUUGUGCCAUUUCAUUCUCACCCCAAAAUGAAAACACACAAAAAAA